rnacentral:rRNA from 1 species
UACGUAGGGGGCAAGCGUUGUCCGGAUUUAUUGGGCGUAAAGAGCUCGUAGGCGGCUCAGUAAGUCGGGUGUGAAACCUCCAGGCUCAACCUGGAGACGCCACUCGAUACUGCUGUGGCUUGAGUCCGGUAGGGGAGCACGGAAUUCCUGGUGUAGCGGUGAAAUGACGCAGAUAUCAGGAAGAACACCCGUGGCGAAAGCGGCUCUCUGGGACGGUACUGACGCUGAGACGCGAAAGCGUGGGGAGCGAACAGG